rnacentral:rRNA from 1 species
AACGAACGCUGGCGGCAGGCUUAACACAUGCAAGUCGAGCGCCCCGCAAGGGGAGCGGCAGACGGGUGAGUAACACGUGGGAACAUACCCUUUACUACGGAACAACUCCGGGAAACUGGAGCUAAUACCGGAUGUGCCCUUUGGGGGACAGAUUUAUCGGUAAAGGAUUGGCCCGCGUUGGAUUAGCUAGUCGGUGGGGUAAGGGCCUACCAAGGCGACGAUCCAUAGCUGGUCUGAGAGGAUGAUCAGCCACAUUGGGACUGAGACACGGACCAAACUCCUACGGGAGGCAGCAGUGGGGAAUAUUGGACAAUGGGCGCAAGCCUGAUCCAGCCAUGCCGCGUGAGUGAUGAAGGCCUUAGGGUUGUAAAGCUCUUUCACCGAUGAAGAUAAUGACGGUAGUCGGAGAAGAAGCCCCGGCUAACUUCGUGCCAGCCGCCGCAGUAAGAC